rnacentral:rRNA from 1 species
UUACGAGAGUUUGAUCCUGGCUCAGGAUGAACGCUGGCGGCGUGCCUAACACAUGCAAGUCGAGCGAAGCGCUGUUUUCAGAAUCUUCGGAGGAAGAGGACAG